rnacentral:lncRNA from 1 species
CAAAUAUCACAUAGCAUAAACCAUAACUCACAUAGUCCUCAACAAACUACAUAACCGGAAUUUUGAUAAAUCCGCCAAAUUCUGAGAUACAAACAAACAUACAACCCUAGAAAUUCCCUAACAUCAUCACCAAAGAAAGUUAUGAACAAAAUCAAAAUAUCUUAACUUUAGUGAAGACCUGUAAAGAACUAAAGAUAGUGUUCUAACUUAUAGUUGAAGGAGGGUAGAUUAGUGUUUUAAUUUCUAAGUUAUAGUUCUCUGCUAUGAGAAAUCUUCACCCUUGCAUAAAACAAUUAUGCAAAUUUAGAUAGCACUUGCCUAGAAUUUCAAUAUAUAUUAGCUAGAUAAUCUCAAAUAAGUGAAGUACAAUUCUAACAAAAGCAUUAAAACAGUAAGAUCAGUGAUACAAUUUCUGCAGAUGCAGAACAAUCUAAGACCCAAAAGGCUUUGGCGGCUAUCUAGUUAGUUCUCAUAGUCAUCACAUAAGAGACUUCUGUUCAGUUUUCUCUUGUUAAAUAUAUUGAGACUUUCCAAUCAGCACAAUCAAUCAACAUGUAACGAAGAGCUAAAAUCCCAAGGUUUACCUAGUAUGAAGGUCUUCUUAAACUCAUCCUAAACUCUAAUCAGUAUUACCAAACAAUAGAUUACUGGCACAAAGAACAAAUUUUACAUAAUCAACUCUAUCCAAACUCCAAAUAUCACAUUACACACAUAAUCCUCAACAAACUACAUUUCGAUAAAUCCUUAAAAUUUCGAAACCCUAGAAAAUCAGAAUCACUUAUCUUUGGUGGAGACGCCGUACUUCUCCUGCAUCUUAGCGAUCUCAUCCUCCUUCUUCUUCUGAUCGAACCUCUUGCCCAUCUUGGCCUGCUGGUAAU